rnacentral:lncRNA from 1 species
AUUGUACAACAAUGAAAUAUAUUCACAAACAUGCAUAUACAUUGAACACAAGUUGACAAACACAUCAAUCUUGACAAAGCAUAGUUUUUACCAUCUCAAUAAUCACCCAGAACACACAAGUCACAAAAAGAUGACACUAUUUGCCGGUAUGAGAAACUUCAACUAGAUGAUCCAGAACACACAAGUCUGUAUCCACAUGCACAAAAUGCCAGCUCCAAAAUAACAAAAUCACCAAAUGGUCUACAACACAUAAGAUCCAUGAUUACAAGUUGGUUGGUCCGUAAACGCUGCAAAGUCAUCACGUCCAUGUGCACCAGUUGGCUAAGUACCUAGAAUUCUUGACAAAAUUUGUCAAGAAAGUGUAAUCAGCUCAAGUUGUUCAAAGCUCAUUUGUGGAUUAACACAGUCAGUCAAUAAAUCCUCAUGAUAUCAACGGCUCACAUGGUACUAUAUAGAACUAUGUUCAUGUGCUUGCAGUUUUAUCAACAAUGAAGGUAUUGACCAUCUGAAACAGAGAUCAUACAACCCAGUAGCUUAUUUUAUAGUCUAUUACAUAAGCAUUCACUGAAGAAAAGACAAACUCCCUCGCAACCUCUCUAGAUUUUUCAUGAUUAAGAGCUACAUAACCUCCCACGGAAAAGAGGAAGCGUCCAGUACGGAAAAACAAAAGAAGAGUCCGGCACCUAACCCCCCACGCACAAGAUAAGCGCCCUAGCAUGUGAAAGAAAAAAAACAGCCUGGACUCCUAUUUGAUGUGUCCUGUGGAUUUAAGAAAAAUACUAGCUCUACCAAAUAGAUAGUCCGAACAUUAGCGUUCUAUGAUAAUACAGUCGGUAUUGCUUAGUGCAUCAUGUUUAACUCGGACAUGGGUUUCACAAAAAGAAUAGCUCUACCAAGUAGAUUUGCACUUAUACAAAUCAAACUUAUAGUGACGACAAUGAUAUUAGGAGAUACUUUUUUUAUCUAAUGAAGUAUCUCUCUUCGCAUUCUUUUUAAAAAUAAUGCAUGCCUACAAUACAUUUGUUUUCAACAUAGUGCAGACACACACGCUCAUACAUACGCACAUACACGUAUCCAUAUAAACGCACGCACGCGCACCCUACCCCUAACCACCCAAUCACAUGUUGGUUCGCACCUACAAUAGAAUUUUAACUAUAAUAAAUCAUGCAUGGACGACUAAGUACCAAAAUAUGUGCGCUUAGUGUCAACAAUUUAUGUUCUAUCAUCAUGUUAUGUACAACAAUACCAUGUAGACUUAUGUUGCAUUGCCAUGCCAGGUAACCAAAGAGGUGCAGCCGUGCCAACAAAGACCUGGAUACCAGCAAAAGCAUCUAGACUUAUGACACCAGAAUAUUUUUCCUAAAAAACAGCAGGAUCAUAUUUCAUAGAAAUACAAACGCAUACCAAGGGAUCACUUUGAACUCUAGGAAAAAAUUCAACAGACCCAUGCAUGGACAUGUAUAUAAAUUGUCUAACAGUCAAAUACCUAUAAAAGGGAGACGCUCAUGUCCCAAUGAAUGAAAAAAAUAGAAGGGAGACGCUCAUGGACAAACGCAUACUACUAAUCAGCAACGCAUCUCUCGCUGCAAUCGUUGGCCUAUUUACAUUCACGUUGCAACCAACUAGCUUGGCCAAAUGGAUGCGUAAACUGGAUUGGUUGGCUUUGGGAAGACCCCUAUUGGUUCAGGCCCCUAUUGCUUCUGUUCUAAUACAUAGUCGCUUUGGGAAGACAUCAGUAUGAAUAAAGCCGAUAAAUAUAGUAUGCAUGCAGAUAGAUCCUACAUACAGAGAAACAAAUCAUGUCAUCUUGUAACUUCUAAACACACUAAAAGGCUAAAGGUAUACCUUAGAGAUAACUGACCAUGAUACCUACACUUUGUUCAAUGCCCUUCUCGGAUUGGUCAUCCAUCCAGUUUAUUCUCUCAACCAUCUACCAUAAAAUAAAAGUGGUGUUCAGCUGUUACGUAAUGCCUAGUGAAUUGAUUCAAAUACCGGUCAUGAGUUGCAGAAACAUUAGCAGAGCACUUCCUAAUACAACCAGUGAGCUACAGUUACAACGGCUAGUGCUGGUAGUAGUGAAUUUAAAUUACACAUGACGCAGUCACAGGAUAAACUGAGCCAUUCAGUUGCAAACUACGCUCUACACUUUGAAAUAAGCCAUUUGGGGUGCAGAUACGUACUUAAAUGGCAAAGAGCUUGGUGUUCAAGUUGUGGGAGUUGUGCCGAAUGUGGAUUGGUCGCGGACACAUCUCAAGGUUGUUUUGUAUAUCCCACCCACACUAUCAGAUCAGCUGAAACAAAGCAGCCCAAUUUCAGACGAGAGAGUUAAAAGUAGGCACAUAAACCAUAGCAGUAGUAUAAGGGGCUCAUGGAGAGUAAGAAGAAGAACCAGUGCCUAUUCAGUUCCAAGUGGACUCGCCAUGCGUUGACUAAAAAAUAGCUCAUCUGCCAAGAUAGUAAGGUGAUACAUAUUAAAAUUGUUUGUGAUAAACUGAACCUUCAUUUCGCGGGCCUAGUUUAAAAUGAUGGACUAGUUGAACUGGUUAACAAAAAGGAAAUCCUGGACAAGCAUCAGGAUGGCAAAAUGAUGGAUCCAUCCAUUCCAUUUGCUGACUUACCACGUCAUAUCCUCAAAUGGCUUGUAUAACAUAAAUGAGGGCCCAACGGUGCCAGCGGCAUGCCUCUAGCACAAGCUAAAAAUAAAACAAUGAAGCUUAUCAUCAUAUUAUUACAUGCCAAUGAUAAACUUGCAUGGAGCCAC